UCUUGCCAGAUGUGCGUCCUCCUCUGUGCUGAACCUGAACCAGAGAAACUGGGUUCAAGAUUCGACUUCGCAUUCGAAAUGCUGAAGACGACUUCGAGUCGGUUAGUCCGCACCAGGAAUAUGGUGGCUAUGAUGUAUGACCCAAUGGACGGAUAAUGCAACUUCUGUCAGCCAUAUUACUGAUGGGCCGAUGACACCAGUCAGUGACACCCUUGCAGUGGCGGUAGGACAGACAAUUCCUCCUGCACUCUUUCACUCCUUUGCAUAUUUGAACUAUGGCAGGUCAGAUGUCCUCAGUUUCGCAUGCACACUCAUGCAAGGCGGACUAUCGCCCAAAUCCUUGUGGAACAAGGGUAAGA